rnacentral:sRNA from 21 species
GAAUAUUUUUGUUAGGUGAGGCUCCUAUACAGAAAGACGCUGCUGCCCGGAAACGUCGAAAGACGCCAAUGGGUAAACAGGCACUACCGGAUUAAGGUUUUGCUUAAUGCAGCUGGUGUUGCAGCCUAAGCUGUAUAGUGCCAAAGCUCAACGAGGGAAAGAUAUAA